AGGACGAACGCUGGCGGCGUGCUUAACACAUGCAAGUCGAGCGGUAAGGCUCCUUCGGGAGUACACGAGCGGCGAACGGGUGAGUAACACGUGAGCAAUCUGCCCUUCACACUGGGAUAACCCCGGGAAACCGGGGCUAAUACCGGAUGCGACCACCGACGGCAUCGUCUGGUGGUGGAAAGUUCCGGCGGUGGGGGAUGAGCUCGCGGCCUAUCAGCUUGUUGGUGGGGUAAUGGCCUACCAAGGCUUCGACGGGUAGCCGGCCUGAGAGGGUGACCGGCCACACUGGGACUGAGACACGGCCCAGACUCCUACGGGAGGCAGCAGUGGGGAAUAUUGGACAAUGGGCGAAAGCCUGAUCCAGCAACGCCGCGUGAGGGAUGACGGCCUUCGGGUUGUAACCUCUUUCAGCAGGGACGAAGCGCAAGUGACGGUACCUGCAGAAGAAGCACCGGCCAACUACGUGCCAGCAGCCGC
rnacentral:rRNA from 1 species